rnacentral:tRNA from 1 species
GGAGAGAUGGCUGAGUGGCUGAAGGCGCACGCCUGGAAAGUGUGUUUAGGUUAACUCCUAACGAGGGUUCGAAUCCCUCUCUCUCCG